rnacentral:sRNA from 1 species
CCCGUGCGACGUACGGGGCUCUUGCUCACCUAACGGACAUAUGCAAGAGACGCAGAUCACAGUGAUGCGAACGUAACCAUCGAAGGGGUUCGAAGGUCUAAGUUGGCGAUGUCAGGCAGCGUCUUGGGGGGCGCCACCUGACAUCUGGGGAUGUCUUGGGGGACUUUCCCAGAGGUGCGUUGCCGGGACACGUACACCGGGAAGCUUUGAGCGGCCCUCCCGGGCGUGCGCUGUCCCGGCAGACCGCGCGGCAAGCACGACCAGCAGCACCGUCAGCACAGCACGACACAGCGAAUUCAGGCGCUGUCCUCACAGACGCCCGGCCGGAUCCCGUGGGGGGAAUCCGCACCGGGACAUGGGAAGGCGCCCUGGAUCGUCGGC